UUCUUAACACGUUAAGAGACAGAGCAACUGUAGCUGGAACAGAGAUUUGGCUACUGCUGUUUGAGGACAGAGACAACCAAGAGGAACAUAGACACAUCUGGAGUACAAAACACAAAACAAAACAUCAGCAUCUUCUGUAGGUUCAUGGGAGAUGAAUAUAUUCCACCAGGAUUGUAUUCUAACUCAAAUAGCUCAAAGGACACCUUCUCCGGGAAACCUUCCCUGACUUCCGACGCUGUUUCCUGUUACCCAUGAUGUACAUUAGAACACAGCAACUAUUUGAGUGAAAUAAGUAUUUUUAUUUAUUUCAAGAGGAAAGCAAAGUCGAAGGGUGUUCAGGGCUACAGUUUUGCUUGACCAGAUGUUGCCAAGUUUCAAAGUCAAAUCGGUUCAUCUCCUGGCUAUCAGCUAAAGGGUGUUGUAUUUGUAAGCAUUGAGAACUUCUAUCUACUGCUAUUGUAUUUUGCAUAUUUGUAUUUUCUGAGUUCUAUUUGAGAGAGACGGAAUUACGCAUUUCCAUAUGGAUCAUCCUCUUCCCUAUGUAUGUUGCUUUAUUGCCUUUUGGAAGAAAAAAAGUGAGAGUUGCAGUCUGUAUUUAGGCCAUUUCUAUGUUCUUUAUUGGGUUACGUUUGAAUGCCCAAUUUGAUCUCAAUGGCACGUCCUUUGUAACAUAAAAUAAAACAUGGUGCUCAGGAAAAGUAACGACACACACAUCCAGGCCCUUUCAUAGCAGUUGGUAAAGCUUAAGCCUUGCCUCUCUGUGUGGUAGUUUCCCUUCCCUUUCUUUUCGUUCCCUGUGACAAGCAGCCAUUGUCCCCUUGGUGAGAUCUGCAAUAUUACUUUGACCCCAGCCCAUCAAUCUGCCUCAAUUGGAUAAUGAUCUGUAAUCACGUUCUUUCAGGGGAGUCUAUAAAUUUGCCAAGGCCCCAUUCUCUUCUGAAGGACUCCUUAUGUUCACUCCCAUUUGUGCAAAUGUGCUCUCUUUUACAGGGCUAAAUAGCCAUGCACAUGGUCCAUUCUGUGAGGAGGCACCGGGCGGUUCUCUGUUGAUUUUCCACGCUCUAGUCUCUUAAAGGAGACUAAGGCUGACAUGCAGGGACACAGUGGGGGGGUGGCCCGAGCCAGGCCACAUCACAGGCAGCCGCUUUUCUCAUUAAGACUGACCCAUCAUUAGGUCACUUUGUGCCAUCCUUGUAAUCAAUGAGCUUAAUGUUUAGUGCAAAAAAAAAAAAAGUUAUUUAAGGAAAGGAGCUGGGAGCUGGAAGAGGAAAAGAGGAAAGAAAAAUGGUAGGAAGCAUGGAGAAAUUCACCACUUCUAAAUCUUAGGGUUGGUUAUACUUUGCCCAAAGGGUAGGAUGAACUCAAAUAUGCUACAUGUGAUUCCUCAAACAACCGCUUCCAGUCCUGUUUGUUUUCUGUAAAACGUAAAUAUUCUUAGACGCAACAUUUCCCCCAGGGGCCCCGCACUUCUCAUGAAGUCAGAUGAAGUGCUCUGUCUAUAACCGAGGCUGAAUCUGCAUUUGCUGGGAACCCUGUAGUGGUGAAGAGAGAGGUGGUCAAAGUCCGUGAGCAAUUGGGGUGGUUUUGGAGGGGUAAUUGGAUUUUGUUUAUUGUUGGAUCCCAAAGAGUUUCAUGACCACAGCCAAAUACAGCAAAUAAAAAAGAAAAAAUAUAUUAAAUUAAAAA
ensembl:lncRNA HULC hepatocellular carcinoma up-regulated long non-coding RNA